rnacentral:rRNA from 1 species
CCCUUAGAUGCUCUGGGCCGCACGCGCGCUACACUGGUCGAUGCAACGAGUUUCUUUCCUUGGCCGACAGGCCUGGGCAAUCUUUGAACAUCGAUCGUGAUCGGGAUAGAUUCUUGUAAUUUUUGAUCUUAAACGAGGAAUUCCUAGUAAACGCAAGUCAUCAGCUUGCAUUGAUUACGUCCCUGCCCUUUGUACACACCGCCCGUCGCACCUACCGAUUGAAUGGUCCGGUGAAAUCUCCGGACUGGCGUGAGUCGGAGCAAUCUGACAAACACCGGAAAGUUGAUUAAACCUUACCAUUUAGAGGAAGGAAAAGUCGUAACA